CUAUUUCCAAACACUAUCCUAUUCACAGGUCCCAAGGCUUUGGACUUCAACACCUUUUGGGUGGAGACAAUUCAACCCAUAAGAAGCUGAAGGCCUUCCAUUCCUAUCUUUCAACACAAACAACUUCCUCAAAUGCAGUUUCCUCUAUUCAACAUCGUAUCAAAGCAAGAGUCUGAUUUCCAGCACAGUGACACCCCACUGAUCAGAGCAUGGAGAGAGCUGAACUGAAAGGAAAAAUGUUCAGGAACUCUAAGAACAAUUCUGCACAAGCACACCCAAAGGACAGCAAGAGGACAAAUCCAUAUGAUGCAUUCCUCAACCGGAACAUUCCAUAUUGUAAAAAAUGCAAUUCUGCCCUGAUUAAUCUGCACCUUUAAUGUAUUUCUAGUCCAAUCACAAUAUACUCUGAAUCUCUUUUAUAUGCA